GAAUCAGCCGCUUUCAGUUAAUCCCCUCACGGCGGCCAUCUUGAAGAGUGGCUUACAGAACGAGUCGGCACGGAAAAGUAUUUGUGAGAAAAAUCUCGACUGAUAACACGGUUUUUGUAGCUCUAACUUCCAAGAUGCACCAACUUGAUGGUAAAAGGGUGUUUAAAACGAUUUUCAUGGUAUCUACCCGUCAAACGAAUCCCACAGCACGUAAAAUGCACCUGUUUCUUGGCCACCACUCGGUGUAAAUAAGCCUGACUUUGCUUGAUGGGCGUGUCAAAUAGAAGUAAGAUGAAGAGGGCAGUUGCUGACCAUAUAACAUGAUAUAUUGUACUAAUGGUUAUUUUAUAUCGAUAGAAAUGGUAAAAGAAAAAGACAAGGGUUUUUGUUUAUCUGGGAUUAUUGCGAUGACAGCUGGAAAGAAAUCCCUACUUUGACAAGCAAAACAAUGGUAAAAGGGUGCCAUUUGGUAUAUAUGCCUGCGCAAACAACAAAAUGACAGGUAAUUCUAUGUAACACGGAGUCUAUAAUUAUGAGAGAUAUUUGAUGCUAUCAUGCCAAACAGACAGACUUGUCAUUAUAACUAUAUUGUCUAUAGUCACAUAAAUUAAACGCGAAUGCUAUGUUAAUAUUUUUGGUGAAACAAUAACUGUUAUUUGUCAUAUUAUAGGUUAAUAGCAAUAAGAAUGUAAUCUUCUGUCUUUAAAACGCUUGACUUACAAUUAUGGUUGGAGACAUUGCGAAAAUUACCUAUCAUUCU